CAGUAGCCACGGGAAUACGGAGGAUCCGAGCGUUAUCCGGAUUUAUUGGGUUUAAAGGGUGCGUAGGUGGCCUGUUAAGUCAGGGGUGAAAGACGGUAGCUCAACUAUCGCAGUGCCCUUGAUACUGACGGGCUUGAAUGAACUAGAGGUAGGCGGAAUGUGACAAGUAGCGGUGAAAUGCAUAGAUAUGUCACAGAACACCAAUUGCGAAGGCAGCUUACUAUGGUUUGAUUGACACUGAGGCACGAAAGCGUGGGGAUCAAACAGGAUUAGAUACCCGAGUAGUCCCUGUCUCUUAUAC
rnacentral:rRNA from 1 species